rnacentral:lncRNA from 1 species
UCCCAAAAAAAAUAAAAAUGCGAAGAUAAGUCCUAUCUAAUCUAUACUAAUCCUAACUACGCUCCUCGGCUUUACCCAAUUCCUCGGGCCUUGUUCUCGAUCCGCCUUAGCCAACAUAGUUCGUCAGGGCAUUCCCCAGUGAAUAAAUAUAUACAGAUACUUCGGGACAUUUCCCGGCCAAAUAGUACAAUUGAUCCAAAAGUGAAAAAACAAAAACCCUUCAUUCCCCACUUCAACAUUCAACGCAUUCAAUCAACACACCACUUCUAACUUUUGCCUACCUGCACCUAACAUUUGCCUAUCCAACUCGGCCUAAAACAUGGUACUACCAUAUUCAAGAGAAUCAAUAAGUAUUUCCAAUUAAUUCAACCAAAUAAUCAAAAUUAAUCCGAUUCCGCUUUAUCAAGAUCAAUCAUUCCCCCAAAUUAUUAUCUAUUAAGCAAUCACUUAAUUCUCCAUCAAACAGACGUUCAACUCAAAUAAUCAAUCAAUACGAACGAAUACUUACGGUGAUUCAAACGUAUCGAAACCAAACUAGAACAAAGCUCGUGCACAUCAUUAAUUCUAUACAUAAGCAUCAAGUGAUGAAGAUUAAUCGAGAAAUAGGAUGAGAAAUGGACCUUUCGAGCUUGAAUUUUGAUGAUAGUAUGAGUUAAAAAAACCCGCGCCCAAAGCCCCGAGUAGACAACCUCGACUCCAAGUUCACCAGUCGACUAAAACCAGCUCCAAAAUAUCGAUACCCCCUAAACUAUGAGUUGAACAGGAAUCCAAAAACCCGCGGACAACCUAAAAGAAGACCGCGUCGAGACUACCGAGAGAGAACCGUAUAAUUCCAGCGUUACUUUGCCGGAAUCAAACCACGAACGAAAAAAACGAUGAUCCAAAUGGGGAUGAGACGCCGGAGCUCCGGUGAGCUCAACUAGCAUCCGAAAAAAAGGAAAAAUGGGUUAGAUCUCGACUAAUUUUUGGGUUGGAUUGAUGUUUUUCAGGAAAAUCUAGAUAGAUUUGAGCUGGUAUUGACGCGUUUCCAGCGAAUAUGUUGCCGAAAUAGUAACAAGACGAGAUUCUCAGCUCCUUCUUCAAUCCCGUAACCCCCUUUUCAAUCUACUCCAUUUUUCUUUUGUUUUUGAAUAUUCCAUGAGUGUAUGUGUGUGCGAGAUUCGUGUGUGGAGUGUUUCUGUGAGAUUUUUGUGCGUGAGAUUGUCUGUGUAUAUUGGUGAAUAAGAAGCAAAAAUGGAGGUCUUCCUUGCUCCUCUGUGAUGUGUGUCCUGGAAGAAGAUGGUGCCGGUGUGUAUUUAUAUCUCCCUUUUCUUUUUGGUAUUUUUGUGACUUUAUUCAAAAAAAAAAAGUGACAAAGGUGGAUUGGGAGGGGGAACGUGAACGGGUGAGGGGUAGGGGUAGGGGUAGGGUAGGUGGUGAUGUGUUGUUUUUUUAAUUGGAGAGGUAAGGGUUAGGUAUCUAUUUUUGAUUGGGUGGGUUGUUGGAAUCUUUAAAAUAAGAAAAAAUUAGUUAGGUUUGUUAAAUGGGAUAAAAACAAAAUAAAAACAAAUAAAUAGAUGACUAAAAGAUGAGGUGGUUAUUUAUUUUCUUGGGAAAAAAUUGUACAAAUGGGAUUAAAUUGUGUGAUAUUGGAAUAAGAAAUAUUAUUGACGGGAUAACAUUACGUGUCUACAUCAUGCCCCCUUUAAAUGUAAACACCUAGUGUUUUCAUACAAAGAAAUAGACAAUGAGACAGAAUUUUUUUCCGAUCAUUAUUCGAAUAAAGAAACUGAAGAAAGAAGGACAACCGAAUCUUGACGGACAUCCUACCGACCCAAGUUAUAAGGUAAUCAAGUGAUAGGUAUCUCAAAAGAUUGGAAGGAGAUGAACUAUACCGAGUUGGAGAGUCGAGUGAGGUCCCAUCGAGGUUCUGGUCCGCGGCUCUGUCAUUACAUCAAAAAUAAAAAUUACAAGUUAAAAACAUAAAUGGAAUUACAAAAAUCCUAUCUAUGCAGCUUCUAUUGGACUCUUGACUCGCUACUUCAUCACCCUAUUCUUCAGGCGGGCUCCUGAUUUGCAAUUUCUUCAACUUGUUAUCUGACUUUCAAUUGUUUCACUUCAUUUCUUAACUUUCAAUUUCCUCACCCUAUUCUUCAGGCGGGCUCCUGACUUGCUAUUUUUCAAUCUGCUAACUUUCAACUUUUCACGUUGUUGCUUUGUAUUCAACUUCUUCACCUUGUUACUUGACUUUCAACUUCUUCACUUUGUUGCUUGACUUUUCAUUUCUUCACCCUGUUCUCCAGCCAGGCUCCUGAAAUCACAUCAGAACUAAAAGGAAAAUUAUCCUAAACAAAGAUUAUUAUAAAGAGAUUUCAUUUUUUGAAAGUAAUGUCUCAUUCUUUGGGAGGGUCCUAAACAAAAGUAAAAUCUCAUUUUUUAGGAGUGUCCUGAACAGAAAGUAAAAUCCCAUUUUUCAGGAGGGUCCUGAGCCUAAAGUAAAUUUCCAUUUUUUAGGAUGAUCCUAAACAUAAAGUAAAAUUCCAUUUUUCAGAAGGGUCCUGAACAGAAAAUAAAAUCCCAUUUUCUAGAAGGGUCCUAAACAGAAAGUAAAUUCUUACUUUUCAGGAGGGUCCUGAACAAAAAGUAAAAUCCCAUUUUCCUGGAGGAUCCUGAAUAGAAAGUAAAAUCCUAUUUUUAGAAGGGUCCUGAACCUAAAGUAAAUUCUCAUUUUUCAGAAGGGUCCUGAACAGAAAGUAAAGUCCCAUUUUUCAGGAAGGUUCCGAACAGAAAGUAAUGUCUCAUUUUUUAGGAGGGUCCUGAACAGAAAGUAAAGUCCCAUUUUUCAGGAAGGUUCCGAACAGAAAGUAAUGUCUCAUUUUUUAGGAGGGUCCUGAACAGAAAGUAAAGUCCCAUUUUUCAGGAAGGUUCCGAACAGAAAGUAAUGUCUCAUUUUUUAGGAGGGUCCUGAACAGAAAGUAAAUUCCCAUUUUUUAGGAGGGUCCUGAACAAAAAGUAAAGUCCCAUUUUUCAGGAGGGUCCUGAACAAAAAGUAAAAUCCCAUUUUCCAGGAGGUUCCUGAACAGAAAGUAAAAUCUCAUUUUUCAGGAGGGUCCUGAACCUAAAGUAAAUUCUCAUUUUUCAGGAGGGUCCUGAACAUAAAGUGAAUUCCAUUUUUUAGGAGGGUCCUGAAAAGAAAGUAAAGUCCCAUUUUUCAGGAGGGUCCUGAACAGAAAGUAAAGUCCCAUUUUUCAGGAGGGUCCUGAACAUAAAGUAAAAUCCAAUUUUUCAAGAGGGUCCUGAACAGAAAGUAAAAUCUCAUUUUUCAAGAGGGUCCUGAACAGAAAGUAGAGUCCCAUUUUUUAAGAGGGUCCUGAAUGGAAAGUAAAGUCCCAUUUUUCAGGAGGAUCCUGAACAGAAAGUAAAGUAUCAAGAUAUUCUUUCCCAAUGAUAGCUAAAUUUAUUGAACAAAAACUUUGCCCCUAUUUCAUCAAAGAAAGAAAAAUUAUUCAGUUAACUUAGUGGUGGCUUGCAACACUUGGCUUUGCAAGCAUCUUCUCUAGUAGUUGUUCCUUUCAUCUUCGUUUCAAAUUGCUGACACUUGCCCUUGUCUUGCUUCAUCAUUGACCCAGACCAGAUCGGGGAAAUGCCUUUGACUCAAAUACCAAACUUCUAUUUUACCAUGCCUCUGAGAUGCACCUUUUGACAUCUGAUACUCUUAUGAAUCCAGCAACCUGUCGGUUGAUAGACUUCCUUUGCUUUGUGUUGAAUUACGAUCCUAUUUCUUUCAUAUGCUGGUCCUUGGCAUUUCCUCAUACAAUUGGAAAGACUGGUAGCAAGUUUUGAAAUUCUUUCUCGCUUGUUUUGACACAGACUUGACUUAAAAAUAUAAAAAAAAUGAUGGUGACUUUUAUUUUGAUAAAUGCCACAAAAAAACAAAGUAUGAAUACGUAAAUGAAAGAAAAGGGAAAUGUCCCUUAUUCAAAAAGAAAACUUAUCUGAAUACGGCAACCAACUCCAAUGAUCACGACAUGCAUUUUGGAUUAAGUUGUCUGAUCUUCCUAUCCAAACUUCCCAUUUGUUGUUGAGUUCAUGCCUUUGCCGCUGAGCCACUUCUUCAAAUCCAUUGGACUCAUAUAUCUCAUUCAAUUGACGGCAUCUUAAAAGACUUUUCCCAACUAAUCUCUUUUCUUUUCACUUUUCUCUCAAACUCGUCAUCGCCUUACGGUGCCGUUUUCACCUAUAAAACUCUCUCCUUUUUAUUUAUCUCAACUCCCCAUCGCCUUAUGGUGCCCGUAAGGGUUUUCAUUAGUAAGACUCUCUCAUUUUUAUUUCUCUCAACUCACUAUUGUCUUAUGGUGCCCAUGAGGGUUUUCACCAAUAAGACUCUCUCAUUUUUAUUUUUUUCCAGAUUUCUUAUGCUAAGGAAGACAAGUAGUACCCCACAAUGUAUCAUUACAUCCAUUGCAUGCUUAGCCUUAACAUUAUCAAAUAUUGAUCUGAAGGACUUUAUUUGGUUAUAAUUUGGCUUUUAGAUAAGGUUAGAAAGGGAUGGCAAGAGGCUCAAACGACACUUGAAGUGGGGGUGGGACUUACAACGUUUGGAAUUGACUCAAACAACACAUUAACUCAUGCCCCAGUUUUGUUGACUAGGUGAUUCUAAAAAUAUUUAUUUAGUUGGACCGAGCCCUGAAUAGGGCAGCCUACGUAUCUCACCCCUGAGAGAGGAGAAUCAGGUUGCACGUAGUUCCAUCAGCUUGUUCUUUGUUUUGAUUUGAUAUUUUUCUCUUUUUUUUUAAUUUUAGAACUCUUUCUUUUAUUCUUAUUUUUCUGACAUUUAUCUUUGACUCUAUUUUGAAGAGGGAUAUGAAAGAAAAAUAAAACUAAGCUCAAACGGGCAAACAAAGGAUGACACAAUGUUUGGAUAGAAGAAUAAAAUGUCUUCAUCAUAUCAAUCUUCAAAAAUGCAAGUACUAAACAUGCAAUAAAAUCAACAAAGGAUAAAAUAUCAUACAUAAUAUCAUUUGACCGCAUCAGCAUUGAUAGUCAUUUCUGCCAUUUUGCCUUCAAUAUCUGUCAAAAUAAGGCUGCAUUGAGCAACACUUUCUUCACAAUGAAGGGACCUUGCCAGUUUAGGGAGAACUUUCCUUUCGCUUCAACCUGGUGAGGAAGGAUACGCUUCAAUACCAACUGACCAACUUCAAAAUUCCUGGGUCAUACCUUUUUGUGAUAUGCUCGAGCCAUUCUCUUCUAAUACAAUUGGCCAUGACAUACCGACGUUAGCCUUUUUUCCUCAAUCAAACUCAAUUGUUCCAGUCGAGUUUUGACCCACUCAUCAUCAUCAAUCUCUGCUUCUACAAUGACUCGAAGAGACGAAAUUUCAACUUCUGUAGGGAUGACUGCUUCUGUCCCAUACAUUAAUAAAUAUGGAGUUGCCCCUGUUGAAGUGCGAACAGUAGUGCAAUAACCUAGAAAUGCUAACGGCAACUUCUCAUGCCAUUGUCUAAACCCUUGUACUAUUUUGCGCAGUAUCCUCUUAAUAUUCUUAUUGGCGGCUUCCACAGAGCCAUUAGCCUUCGGACGAUAUGGAGUGGAAUUUUGAUGUGUCAUCUUAAAUUGUUGACACACUUCUUGCAUCAAAUGACUAUUGAGAUUGGCAGCAUUAUCUGUAAUGGUCAUCUUAGGAAUUCCAAACCUACAAAUAAUGUUGGCAUGAACAAAAUCUACUACCGCCUUCUUUGUCAUUGACUUGAAAGUUACUGCUUCUACACAUUUUGUAAAGUAAUCAAUAGCCACCAAAAUGAAUCUAUGCCCAUUUGAUGCUUUCGGCUCAAUCGGCCCGAUCAAGUCCAUCCCUUAAGCUACGAAAGGCCACAGAGCAGACAUUGCGUGCAAUUCAGCGGGAGGAGAACGUAUCAGAUCACCGUGUACCUGACAUUGAUGACAUUUUUGAACAAAACAAAUGGAAUCCCUCUCCAUAGUAAGACAAUAAUAACCUGCUCUGAGAAUCUUCUUAGAUAAGACAUAACCGUUCAUAUGAGACGCGUAUACUCUAGAAUGAACUUCAACCCUGAUUAUCGAAGCUUUUUUUGCAUCAACACACCUCAAAAGUCCUAGAUCUGGGGUUCUCUUGUAUAAGAUUCCCCCACUUAAGAAAAAUCCACUAGCCAAAUGCCUAAGAGCCCUCUUUUGAUCAUUGGUGGCAUGUGUUGGGUAUUCUCCUAACUGGAUGUACUAUUUGAUAUCAAAGAACCAAGGUUCGCCAUCGAGCUCUUCUUCAACUACAUUACAAUAAGCGUGUUGAUCACGACUCUGUAUAUGCACUGGAUCGAUGUAGGCCUUAUCAGGGUAUUGGAGCAUUAAAGACAAAGUGGCCAAAGCAUCAGUAAUCUCAUUGCAAAUUCUUGGGAUAUGCCUAAACUUUGCAGACACAAACCGUUGACAUAGAUCCUUCAAGCAUUAUCGAUACGGUAUUAGAUUUAAAUCUCGUGUCUCCCAAUCACCUUGAAUCUGAUAGACGAGUAAAUUUGAAUCCCCCAACACUAAUAGUUCCUGGACUCCCAUAUCAACAGCUAGCCUCAAACCCAGAAUGCAAGCUUCAUAGUCCGCCAUGUUAUUAGUACAAUAAAAUCGAAGUUGUGUUGUUACCAAAAAAUGUUGCCCCACCUCAGAGAUAAGAACUGCACCUAUUUCGAUUCCUUUCAUGUUGACAGCUCCAUCGAAGAACAACUUCCAACCUGGAUCAGUAUCUAUAACGACUUCAUCGACACACAACACUUCUUCAUCAGGGGAAUAUGUCUUUAAUGGCUUGUACUCUGCAUCAAUGGGAUUCUCAGCAAGAUCAUCUGCCAAGGUUUGGGCUUUCAUGGCCGUUCGAGUCACAUAUACGAUCUCAAACCCGGUAAGCAAUAUUUGCCACUUUGCCAAACGGCCGGUCGGCAUAGGCUUCUGAAAGAUAUACUUCAAAGGAUCCAUGCAGGAGAUGAGAUAAGUAGUGUAGGAAGAAAGAUAGUGCUUUAACUUCUGUGCUAACCAAAUUAGGGCACAACACGUCCUUUCAAGAAGAGUGUACCUGGCCUCAAAUGUUGUGAACUUCUUGCUAAGAUAAUAAAUAGCCUGCUCUUUUUUGCCUGUGACAUCAUGUUGACCCAGGACACAACUGAAAGAAUUAUCCAUGAUCGAUAAAUAUAAGAUCAAAGGCCUACCAGGCUCUAGUGGUACCAGCACGGGCGGAUUUGCCAGAUAUCUUUUGAUUUUGUCGAACGCUUCCUGACAUUCUUCAGUCUACUCUACCGCAGCACUCUUUUUCAUCAACUUGAAAAUGGUAUCACACGUGGUUCUGAGUUGAGCAAUAAAUCUGCUGAUGUAGUUCAGUUUACCAAGCAAACUUAUCACCUCUGUCCUAUUCUUGGGCGGGGAGAAAUCCUGAAUGGCUUUGAUUUUUGAGGGAUCUAAUUCAAUUCCCCGACGGCUGACUACAAACCCUAAUAGCUUUCCAGACGGAACUCCAAACGCACAAUUUGCCGGGUUGAGCUUGAGAUUAUACCUGCGAAGCCUUUCAAAGAACUUUCUUAAACCUUUAACAUGGUUAGCCUAACUUUUUGACUUAAUAAUCACAUCAUCUACAUAGACCUUAAUCUCCUUAUGCAUCAUAUCAUGAAACAUAGUGGUCAUGGCUCUCGUGUAUGUUGCUCCAGCAUUCUUCAAACCAAAUGGCAUAACUCGAUAACAAUAGGUCCCCCAUGGUGUGAUAAAAGAUGUCUUCUCCGCAUCUUCAUCAUCCAUAAUAAUCUGGUGGUAUUCGGCAUAGCAAUCCACAAAAGAGGCAACCUCAUGUUUAGCGCAGUUGUCUAGCAAAAUAUGGAUGUUGGGCUGCGGAAAAUCAUAUUUCGGACUUGCUCUAUUCAAAUCACGGUAAUCAACACAUACUCAAAUUUUGCCAUCUUUCUUUGGGACAGGAACAACAUUGGAUAACCACGUAGGAUAACGAGCCACUCGAAUGACUUUGGCUUCAAGUUGUUUCAUGAUUUUCUCUUUGAUUUUAAUACUUACAUCAGUUUUAAACUUCCUCAACUUCUGUUUCACGAGGGGAUGUGGGAUCAAUUGGAAAUUUAUGAGCUACUAAUUCAGUGCUUAAACUAGGCAUAUCAUCAUAAGACCAUGCAAAAACAUCCUUAUAAUCAAUUAAUGCUUAAAUCAUUCCAUCUUUUUGCUGUGACAAAGCAUGUACACUGAUUUUAGUUUCCCUAAUAUCUUCUUGAUUCCCUGAUUGAUUGGCUCCGAUUCAUUCAAAUUAGGAUUUGGCUUGUCUUUACACUGUUCCAACUCUUUGCUUAUUUCCUCUAAUGCCUCUUGUUCAUCAUAUUCCUCCCUUGCUUCAUUAUAUCUUGAUUAGUUUGGAUUUUAAGAUCAGGCUGAAAAUUUUGCAUACAUGUCAUGUCAUUAGAAUCAGCAUAAAGAAAACAGUAUAAGGAAAAAGACAAUUGCAUUUCAUUAAAAGAGAAAGAUAGGAGGGUUUAAACACAAAUGAAAACAGAAUGUAAACAAGCUAAAUUCCGAAUUACAACCCUGGAAUAACUCGGAUAAAUAGAAAGAAAAAACAAAAUGAACUACCAAAACUCCCUCCUGAUGGGGGAGAGGAGUGACUUCCAUGUUGAGCUGGACCUCAGGACCUAUGAACUGCAUGCUUGCCUUACUGGUACCCUCUCCUGCUUCAACCAUCUCAACAUCAAUCAGCAGGUUUUGGAAGUCAUCAACCAAUUCAGCUUCAAAUUCUACAGGCUUCGUGACAUUGCUCUUGACAAAUGAUUCACUGAGUAGCGGCAUUGGGCGAGGGAGUUACCAUGUUUCCUUUUUCCUUCCCUUGGCCUUCUUCAGAUCUUCAGCCGUAGGUUCAAAUCCCAAACCAAAAGUGCCCAUGUUCUCAUUCGGACAUAUAGGAUGAACCAUACCGUGCAGAGACUCUCACAAACCCCUUCCUGGCUUGAAUCCAUAUUUUAACAUUGCAUUUAUCAUCAUAACAGAAGCGGGAAACAAUUAUGGCCCUGGAAUAACCUGCCCUUCAACGAUACGAUUCACCGACACUAUCAAAAGUUUGAUAGACAAAUAUCUCCUCUAUAUUGUUUGCUUCAAUAAGGGACAAGGGAGAAUCUUCGUAGGCAUACAAAUCCCCUUCACCAUGAAUAACCACUUCUUGCAUGUCAUGCUCAAACUUGAUCAUUUGGUGCAAUGUAGAUGCAACCGCCUUGGCCUUGUGGAUCCACAGUCUUCCCAACAACAGAUUGUAAAAGGAGUCUAUAUUCAAUACUUGAAACUCUAUGGCGAACUCAACAGGCCUUAUAAUCAACAUUAGUUCCAUUUCACCAAUGGAGUUUGAUUUUGAACCAUCGAAAGCCCUGACACAUACAUUGUUGGGCCUGAUCUUCAACAUCAAUAUUCAACUUUUGCAAAGUAGAAAUAGGACAGAUAUUUGUACCUGAACCUUCAUCAAUCAUGACAUAAGUGAUGUAGAAAUCUUCGCAUUUCACUGUAAUGUAAUGACCCCGAUUAUGCCCCGUACCUUCAACAGGCAAUUCAUCGUCAGAGAAGCUGAUCCGAUUGACCUCAAAAAAAUUUUCAACCAUUUUCUCAAGCUGAUUUACUGUAAUCUCCCUAGGAACAUAUGCUUCAUUUAAUACCUUCAAUAUAAUAUCACGAUGUUCCUUGGAAUGCAACAACAAAGAUAAAAGGGAAAUUUGAGCAGGGGUUCUCUUCAACUGAUCUAUUAUUGAAUACUCUGGCAACUUUAUCUUUUUCAAAAAUUCUUUGGCUUCUUCUUUGGUGAUAGGAUUUUUGAUAGAUGAAGGUCUACUCACAAUUGGCUUGGACUUCCUUAAACUUUCAGGCACGAAGCAUCUUCCUGACCGAGUCAAACCCCCUAUCUCAUCUACAUCUUCCACUACUUCCUUCCCCUGUUAGGUCAUCAUAGUCUGCUUAUAGUUCCAAGGAACCUUUUUUGUAUCAACUAUCGAAGGUUCGGUCACCGAUUUGAGGACAAUAGGAACUACCAGUGCUCCUUUCACCAUCAAGAUAGGCUUACCCGGAGCUCCUACCAUCGUCAACUUAGGUUUAUCCUGACUUAAAUCAAUGUAUCUUCUGGCACCUUGCACUGUGAUCACAGGUUUCUUUGUGCUUUCUUGGGCUUUAUCUUCUCCCAUUCCUUCCUGGCUUAAUGACAUUGCUUUCAACGACUCUGCUACAUUCAUCGAUUUUUUCUUAUUGGUCUNNNNNNNNNNNNNNNNNNNNUCCCAUCAUAUAUCAAUUCUAACAUAUUGGUUUCAGCAUGGGUUGGCAUCGGAUUUUGGUUAAUGUUUGGGACCUCCGGGGCUUGGACCAACAUCUGAUUUGUGUCAAUUAAAUCUUGGAUAGCUCUCUUUAAAUACCAGCAUUUCUCGAUAUCAUGGCUUGGCAUGUCAGAAUAAUAUGCACACCUUACAUAAUAAUCGAGAUUCCUCGGAGGUAGAUUUGAAAGCCUUCCUUGAAUUGGGCUUAAGACCUUCAUUUUCUCAACCUAUCAAACAAGCUAGCAUAUGACUCCCCAAGAGGUGUGAACUAAUUUUUGACAGCCUUCUCUUUCUUGUACUCGGGCCUAGGUUGGAAAUUGGGUCUGGAGGGGUUUUGGUAAUUUGGUAGAGCUGACAGACAAUUUUGUGGAGCUUGCGCACGCCAUUGCGGGUAAGAAUAGGUUUGGGCAUAUGGUUGUGCGUUAUAUACUGGGUAAGAAGGAGGUGGAAUGGCAUAUGGUGGGUUUUGCAGAGGGUAGUAAUGGUGGGGAGGAAUAUAUGGAGUUGCACAUAGGCUUAGGCUUGGGAUUAGGGAUAGGGGCAAGGCGGUCUUUUGGGAUAGGAAUAGGGUCUAGCAACAACGGUCGCCACAUCCUCUUCCUUCUUUUUACCUCCGAAUGCGCUAGAUCCACCUUGAAUCGCUUGUGUGGUGGCUUUUAAUGCAGCAAAACUCACUAUUCAGCCGGUCUUGAUUUCGUCCUCUAUUAUCUCUCCCAUUUUGAGGACUUCAAUAAAAGACUUUCCCAUUGCCGAAAGUAAAUAUUUAAAAUAGGUCUCAUCCUGUGACUGAAUGAAGAACUCUACCAGCUUACUUUCCUUCAUUGGAGGCUUUACCCUGGCGGCCUGUCCACCUUAUCGCGUAUUCCCUAAAUCCCUCAGUGCUUUUCUUCUUUAUGCUGACCAAGGAUUUUUCAUCAAGAAUCAGGUCGACAUUAUACUGAAAAUAUUGCACAAACUCGGAAGCUAAGUCAUCCCAGCUAUUCCACUUGUCGAUAUCUUGAUCGACAAACCAUUCUGAAGCCAGAUCGGAAAGACUCUCGCUAAAGAAAGCCAUAAGGAACUCUUCCCUUCCCCCUGCAGCCCUCAAUUGGUUGCAAUAAUGUCUCAAGUGUGCCACGGGAUCACCGUGCCCAGCAUACUUCUCAAACUUGGGCAUUUUAAAAUUGAGGGGAAAGUUGACGUCUGGGAACAUGCAAAGAUCUUUAAAAAAAACACUCUUAUAACCUCUGGUUCCCUGCAGAUUCCUCAUGGCCUGUUCCAAACUUUUCAAUUUCCACGCUAUGAACUCCUGUAGGAGCUUCAGGUAGUGGCAGAGCCACGAACAUAGGUAUUGUCGGUGGCGCCGGCUGAGUCACGGGCCUUAGUUGAGGAACUGGCAGGGGCACACUAGAAGUGCCAGGGUAAUAUUUUCGCGGAGUGAAUCCUGGUGCAUGCUUUGGUGACUCAAUGGGAACAGAGAAUUGCACCUGAGAGAGCGGUGGGCAAUUGGGGAUAUUCCCAAGAUCUUCAGGGAGUAGAGGAGGAGGCAUGCCACUAGCCCAUGCUUGGUGCAGAUCUAGCAAUUGUUGUCUAAGUCUCAAUACCUCAUCAUUGUGUUCUGAACUUUCUUCCAUGGGAUCCUAAUCUGGGUCAAGGAGUGAAUUUUCAAUCUCCCCACUAGCCAUGGCAAUCUUCUCUUUUGAUCUAGUUAAGUACAGGUGACUAGCCAGAGUGUUGUAAACCAACCACUUAUCUGAAAGAACAUGCUCAUCAAAGACAAAACCCGCUAGGAUUAGGUCACACAACAAGCAUGGGAAUCACAUUUGUAAAGUCGUCCUAGAUUCAUGUGUAUUUCUAUCAACCUUUGAAGGUAGCAAGGUCAUUGUAACAUCAUCCCGAUAUUUUUCCUACACCCAUUUUCUUCUUUACUCCAAUCACGCCUCUCUUUUUUUUUCUUUUUUUUCUUUUUUUUCACCAUCACUUCUCUCAUCUCUCGCGUCAGUCCCCUUUUUAUCCUUUUUUCCCUUCUCUCAUUAUUUUUCUUUCUUUUUCUCUCUCGCUGUCUCUCUUUUUAUCAUUCUUUAUGGUUUUUGUUUUUCCUUAAAAUAAAAGAAAAAUAAUGAAAAAAACCAAGAAACAAAAUGAUUAGAUCGAACCCAAAAGUAGGUUGCCCACGUAUCAUGUCGUACAUGAAUCAGAUCUUGCGUAGUUCGGGAGGUGCAUGCAUAAAUAUCACAAAGUUGAAGAUUUUUUUUUUGAUGAAAAAUAAACAAAAGAAAGAACAACGCAACGUCAGAACAUUUCAUAACAGAGACAACUAAAACAAACUUCGGAUUUAAGACAACUUUAAAACUAAACAACGAAAGCCAAACAACACUCUAGACCCACAGGACAACAUAUGUAUCUUUUCUAAUAAAGACUCUAAUGUUAAAACAAACUGGACAUCGACUUAAAAAAGACACAACAAAUACCAUGACAAAACAAAGGACUCAAAAAUAAAAGAGAUGAAGUGCUUCUUUAAACUACUGCGCUGCGUGAUGGCCCUGGCUAAGAUGGACCUGUUUGUGGAGUUCUCGCUCUCCUAUUCAAACUCUGUAACAUAUCCUACAAUGUAUCUUUGAUGCUUAGAAAGAAACUCCUAGCACGUAUUCCGGCCUCAUGAGGAGCACACCUGAAAAGACUGUUUUGACAUCCUUUCACAGUUAUAUGCAAACUUGAUAACUGAACUCUCAGUUCCUCCACUUUGGCCCCGUACUUUCGUCCUGACAGUCAUCAAUUAUACAUUCUUCCUGUAUUCUCCCUCUAAGUUGCGCUGGCAAUGGUCUACUGACACCCCGAGGAAUAAAUUGUAGCCAGAUUCCAUAUCUCGGAGUGUAUCCUGGAUUAUCCAAACCUGCUUUGAGAGAAUCUACGCCCAUUUUUGUUGCAUUAAGCCAGAAUUGCUCAUAUCUGAUUUUCCCUUUGGCUAUAUUCUUAAAAUACUCGACAUCCUUUUGAAGAUCCAUUAUUGGUGGAAUGUCUUGAAGUCUACCCAAUUGACGCAUUACCCUACUCGAACUGUAAGGUCUAGCGUAUUUGAGCCCAAUCAGAACAAGAAGAGGUUGCAUGCAACAUCCAGACAAGAUUACCUUCGGAUCGAGCCAACAAUAAGUCCACAGAAUAUUGUCAUGAGUUCUUGCUUCAAGAAAUUCGACCCAAGCAUUGACUCCUCUAGGCAACGAGAACUUAUCAAAGUGCAUUCUUUGUUCGAUGGCAUUCACUCGCUCGUUUAAAAAAUGAUCAAUCACAUCCGGUUUGACCAAAGAAGGACUGUACAAAUGUUCCAUCAUCCAUAAUUGUAGUAUCAAAUUGCUUCCUUAAAAAAAUUGCAGCCCUCCUUUUACCUCAGUCAAAGCCUUAUACAAUUCCACCAAAAUCAUAGGUACGAUAGUAACUCCAUCCUUUUUCUUGAACAAAGCCAUCUCUACUGAUUGUAAACGAGUGUUGAUAUGCCUUUAAUCUAACGGGAACACUAAAGUACCUAACAAUGCCAAACAAAAAACCUCAAGACGCCGUUUCUCCCAAUUCUUCUUGGUAGUACAAAAUAAAUCCCAAAAAUAAUCAAAACCAUCUGGAGACCCGAAUCUAGCAAAAAAAUAAUCUAAGGAAAUCCAAGAUUGUUUCAGGACCCUAGGUGAUCAUUAGCCUUCAAAGCACAAAGCUCGAGAAAUCUCCUGCUAGAAUGAUUCCGAGCUAGGAUUAACUUCUUACCGAUAUAUGGCAAAUGAAACAGACCGGAUAUUUCUGCCAAGGUAGGCGUUAUUUCACAACUCUCAAACCUAAACACCAAGCUGUCUACAUCCCAGAAGGUCGAUGCGGCCUCUAUUAGAUUUGGUCGGGGUGUGAUAUUCAAAAGCGAUGUAAGAUUGCCAAACAAUUUUUCUAUCUCAUGCCUUUUAGAAUAGUUGAGCAUACCCUACCAUUUGAUUAACUUUUUGGGCACCUUGAAAACUAUCAAGACUCUAGACCCUGUGGAUGGCUCCAUCCUGUAACAAUACACAGAAUUAUGACUCACGAUUUAAUAAGGGCAAGAGAAUUCCCGACCCUCGAGAUUCUGACACAAAGAAGUGUCACAUGACACAGGGACAAGCCAACCUAUAACUCAAAAUUGCUAAAUGGAAACGCUAAGAAGACUCAACCUAUCUAGCUAUGACCACUAACAAAUACUUGACUAAACAGAAAAUGGACCUUAACUAAACUAGGACAACAAUCGAACUUAAAAGAUUACCGAACCCACCGAGGGUUGCCUAUGUAUCCCGCCCUGAGAGAGGAGAAUCAGGUAUGCGUAGUUCAUCCAGAUUGGACCAUUAACGAUUAAAUGACAGACUGACCCUACCUUAAAUGACACAAACAAAGACCGGUGAAUAAAAUCUUUCUGGGUUUUUAAUUAGACACUUCAAAUAAAACUAACACCAAUAGCUAUGAAGGGAAAAAAACUUUUUGGUAUUUUCAUUAUAUAGAAUGUAUAAAACUACUAUCAUUUUUUGCAUCUUCUUUUAUACAAGUCUCCUAUUAAACAAAAGAUUUUUUUUGAAAAUUUUAAAUUAUGCAUGCUUGCUAAAGAGACAAAGAGAAAAUUUUUUUCUCUUUUUUUUUCGACAUAUGAGUGCAAAAGGUAAAAAAAAAAAAAUCUUUUUGAAUUUUGAAAAACAAAAGUCAUAAAGAACUAUAAAAACUACGACUCUGUUUUUCUUUUUGACUCACUCUCUUUCUUUUUCCUAUCUUUUUUUUUUUGAAAUGUUUUGUUUACACACCUUACUUCUAACACAUGCUUUCCCGAAAUCAGUCCAUCGAAUGACUAUAUUACCCUCAAAGAUGCAACAUUUAGCAGUAGUGAUGCUUUAGAAGUGAGUCUCCUAUAAAGGGCCACGCGGGUCCUGCUAGGUAUCGAUAUGAUGCAAAUAAGCAUGACCUAAAGGCUGACCUACACUGGGUUCACUAUCAAGGCUGUUCAGGGGAGCGUAUGGUCGACAGUGGCUGCGACAGCUUUCCACCCACUCCAUACGUCCGACGGUUCCCCCUCCUAAAAUAAAGGUGACUCAACUAGAGUUCGGGUACACGACGUGCACUCCGAGACUUGUUACAGAAAGAAUUGACUCGGGUUAUGCAAAUGAUGCCAGAUAUAAAGCAAUAACACGUAAAGAAAGACUGUAAUACAUAGCACGUAGGCACACAACAAUGAUAAAGUAAACACAAAAGAUAACACAAACAAUGUUUAUACACCCAUAAUGUCAAACUAAGCCGAUACAACUCAAAAAAAAAAAUAAACUCGAAUUCUAAAAAGUCCCCAGCAAAGUCGCCAGAGAUGUCACACCCCCUUUUUAACUCCAAAAAAGAUUCGUUUUAAGUUCGAAAGGGUUUUCAUUAUUAAAGUGACAAAAAUGAAGAUUGAUUAGAAAAAGGAUUAUUUAUAUUCUAAACUCAGAGUCGCCACUUGGCAUAAAUCGGGUGUGCCAAGUCACCCUUGGAUAUCCUUUUUCAAAACGAUUUUAACUCUAUAAAAUUGAUCCACGAAUAGAGAUUCCGACUAAGGAAUUUUAUUGACCGGGGGGAAGGUGUUAGGCACUCCUCGAUCCCGUGAUUCGACCACGGUCGCUUGGUGGAUCAUAUCGGCUAAUUUAACACUACGAAUGUAUAAACCACACAAAGCACACAAAACAAUCAAGCAAGCAAAACAAAACAAAAAAAAUCCAAAAUUUAGUGUCUAGUCCAAUUAUACAGUCCGAAAAUAAAUAAAAAUGUGAAAAUAAGUCCUAUCUAAUCUAUACUAAUCCUAACUACGCUCCUUGGCUUUACUUGAUGCCUUGGGCCUUGUUCUCGAUCCGCCUUCGUCAACAUAGUACGUCAGGGCAUUCCCCGGUGAAUAAAUAUAAACAGAUACUUCGGGGCAUUCCCCAGCCAAAUAGUACAAUUGAUCCAAAAGUGAUAAAACAAAAACCCUUCAUCCCCUACUUCAACAUUCAACGCAUUCAAUCAACACAUCACUUCUAACUUUUGCCUACCCGCACCUAACAUUUUCCUAUCCAACUCAAGCUAAAACAUGGUACUACCAUAUUCGAGAGAAUCAAUAAGUAUUUCCAAUUAAUUCAACCAACUAACCGAAAUUAAUCUGAUUCCGCUUUAGCAAGAUCAAUCCCUCCCCCAAAUUAUUAUCUAUUAAGCAAUCACUUAAUUCUCCAUCAAACAGACGUUCAACUCAAACAAUCAAUCAACACCAACGAAUACUUACGGUGAUUCAAAUGUAUCGAAACCAAACUAGAACAAAGCUCGUGCACAUCAUUAAUUCAACACAUAAACAUCAAGUGAUGAAGAUUAAUCGAGAAAUAGGAUGAGAAAUGGACCUUUCGAGAUUGACUUUUGAUGAUAAUAUGAGUUAAAGAAAUUCGCGCUCGAAGCCCCAAGUAGACAACCUCAACUCCAAGUUCACCAGUCGACUAAAACCAGCUUCAAAAUAUCGAUACCCCCUAAACUAUGAGUUGAACAGGAAUCCAAAAACCCACGGACAACCCAAACGAAGACCGCGUCGAUACUACCAAGAGAGAACCAUAUAAUUCCAGCGUGACUUUGCCGGAAUCAAACCACGAACGAACAGAACGGCGAUCCGAACGGGGACGAGACACCGGAGCUCCGGUGAGCUCAACUAGCAUCCGAGAAAAAGGGGAAAAUGGGUCGGAUCUCGACUAGUUUUUGGGUUGGAUAGACAUUUUUCAGGCGAAUCUGGGCAGAUUUGAGCUGGUAUAGAUGCGUUUCCAGCGAAUAUGUUGCCGGAACAAUAACGAGAUGAGAUUCUCAGCUCCCUCUUCAAUCCCGUAACCCUCUUUUCAAUCUACUCCAUUUUUCUUUUGUUUUUGAAUAUUCCGUGAGUGUAUGUGUGUGCGAGAUUCAUGUCUGGAGUGUUUCUGUGAGGUUUUUGUGCGUGAGAUUUUCUGUGUAUAUUGGUGAAUAAGAAGCGAAAAUGGAGGUCUCCCUUGCUCCUCUGUGAUGUGUGUCCAGGAAGAAGAUGAUGCCAGUGUGUAUUUAUAUCUCCCUUUUCUUUUUGGUCUUUUUGUGACUUUAUUCAAAAAAAAAAAAAAAAACGUUACAAAGGUGGGUUGGGAGGGGGCACGUGAACGGGUGAGGGGGUAGGGGUAGGGUAGGUGGUGAUGUAUUGUUUUUUUAAUUGGAAGGGUAAGGGUUAGGUGUCUAUUUUUGAUUGGGUGGGUUGUUGGAAUCUUUAAAAUAAGAAAAAAUUAGUUAGGUUUGUUAAAUGGGAUAAAAACAAAAUAAAAAUAAAUAAAUAGAUGAAUAAAAGAUGAGGUGGUUAUUUA